CCCUCCAGUCGUUAUCUCCCUUCUAGGACAACAAACGUUCCCUCUUCAGGGCCUGUCCUCUGUCCCAGCCUUCACCAGUGACCUCGGGUUUCAUUUCAUUGCCAUGCCCUUGCACUAGGAACCAACUCUCAGAGAAAGGUGUAUUUGGAAUUUGUUAGUGCUUGCAUUUUUUUUUCUGUUAAUUUUUUUUCAGACCCAGGAUUCAUUACAGGUGAUUAUGCAAGAACAAGCCUCAAGGCUGUUGGGUACAUGGAAUGCUUCUGGCCUUUGCAGUUUCUCCCACCCCUGUAUUUCUUCAGAAGGAGGAGAAAAAGCCAGAUUAGAUGAUGAGGGUCAGUGGAGGACAUCAGCACACAGCUGAAAACGUCCCCAAACCUGCACUCUACUACUCCAGUUCCAGCCAGAUGUGAAAAACUGCAAAAAAGUCCCCUCCAUUCUCACUUUGAAGUUAAUUCCCUGUGUAUUGCAAGGAAAGCUACAGCAUGCCCCUUCUGAAACUUGGAUGGGCUCCUCCUGGACGAUGUCCCCUGACAGUGAAAGAACAACCUCCCAGCCACAGCACUAGCAUCUGCGCAGCUCAGCGGUGACUUGGAUCAGGUUGACCUGCCUGAGAAGAGUUAUUUCCUGAGUUAUUUUUUGUCCAGAUCAGGUCAGUGACCUGACCAAGCCCACAGACCUUGGGGUGUGGGAAGGAGAGGAACUGGAGGUAUGGCUAACAGAGUCUUUCAUCUGUGUCUGGAGAGGACGCAGCUGUAUAUUGUCAACAGUCCCCAGACAGAGGCAUUGCGGUCAGGGUGAAUUCAAAUACUGGGAAUCCUGGAGGAGUGCACGCAGUGUGGCCUGCUUUGAUGCCACUUGAAGAAGAGAGCACCACGUCCUUCCUCCGCCAGCAUAGCUCUGUUCUGUAAGCUCCUGCCUCCCUCCUUGUGGGGUUCCAGAACUUCAAUCCAUAACUGAGUGCUUCUCUGCUUUUCCUGGCCUUUCCUGGCUUUCCCAUCCUCUGCAAGCUUGUCUGCUGUAGGCCCAAGUCAGAGGCUGAUAGCUGUCUACAACUCUUCACCCUCUACCUUGGGUUGUGGUUGGAGAAGCCAAAGAAUCAAGAUUCAUCAAGACCUGACAGUGUGAAAUUUCAUGUCAGUAAUAGGGAAUACAUGUAUUACAUUGCAAAAUGUGUACUAGGAUGUUAAAUACAUGUGCCUAUACACAUAUACAUCUAUGUGCACCUAGGUUUUUUUCAUAUAUAUGUGGAAAACAUCCCUAUCUCUAUAUCUAUAUGCAAGUAUACUUUUGAGAACCUAUAGCUGAUGACUUUAACAUAGAACUAUAGAAUUAGAGAAUGGUUUAGACUGGAAGGGACUUUAAAAGAUCACCCUGUUCCAGCCUCCCAGGCGACAGGCAGGGACACCUCCCACCAGCCCAGGUUGCUCAA